rnacentral:rRNA from 1 species
UACAGAGGUGGCAAGCGUUGUUCGGAAUUACUGGGCGUAAAGGGCGCGUAGGCGGCCUACUAAGUCAGACGUGAAAUCCCCGGCUUAACCUGGGAACUGCGUCUGAUACUGGAAGGCUUGAGGAUGGGAGAGGAUGUAGAAUUCCAGGUGUAGCGGUGAAAUGCGUAGAUAUCUGGAGGAAUACCGGUGGCGAAGGCGGCAUCCUGGACCAUUACUGACGCUGAGGCGCGAAAGCUAGGGAGCAACGGG